rnacentral:misc_RNA from 1 species
UUAAGUUCAGCGGGUAUCCCUACCUGAUCCGAGGUCAACCUUAAGAAGUUGGGGGUUGCUGGCAAGUAACCAUUAGGGGUCUGUCGCGAGAGAUAUUACUACGCGUAGAGCCUAACAGCACCGCCACUGAUUUUGAGGCCCGCCCAGAGGCGAAGCCCAAGACCCUCUAUAAAGAGGAGUUGGUCAAAAUGACGCUCGAA